UACAGAGGUCUCAAGCGUUGUUCGGAUUCAUUGGGCGUAAAGGGUGCGUAGGCGGCGCGGUAAGUCGGGUGUGAAAUCUCGGAGCUUAACUCCGAAACUGCAUUCGAUACUGCCGUGCUUGAGGACUGGAGAGGAGACUGGAAUUUACGGUGUAGCGGUGAAAUGCGUAGAUAUCGUAAGGAAGACCAGUGGCGAAGGCGGGUCUCUGGGCCACUACUGACGCUGAGAAGCGAAAGCAUGGGGAGCGAACAGG
rnacentral:rRNA from 1 species